ACCUCAAAACAAACGCAAGUACGCAACCCUUAACCUUGGGCUAAAAAAAAAAGAACUAACACUGCUCUCAUCGUUCCCUGCAGCCAACUUCACACACUCGCUCCCUGCAACAUCUCCCUGCUGACCGGCGAAGCCACCAGCGCUCUCUUUCUUCUCAGGAAAUCGUCAACAUUGGCAAACCUCCGUGUCUUGGAUAUUACAUCGAAUAAGCUAACAGCAAUAGAGGAUAUUGAAAAGUUGGCAAGGUUGGAAGAUCUGUGGCUUAAUGAUAACCAGAUUGCCUCUCUGGAGGAUAUGGCUGAGGCAGUUGCUGGUUCUAGGGAGACGAUUACCACUAUCUAUCUUGAGCAUAACCCAUGUGUUUUCACAACUCCAAGGGAGGGGCCCUUCACCAAAGAGGAGUUGGAUGAAGUUCGAGACAAGUGGGCUACUUACUUCAACGAUUGUGAAUUACCCCCAGUGUAAUAAAUAGAGCAGGCUUGUAAUUAUCCGUGACUCUUACAUUAUUUUGUUAUUUAUCGAUUUAAUUAAUUACAUUUGAAUUAAUUCGGAAAUAUUAUUGAAAAUUUGAAAUUUAUAUCAUUUUUGAGAAAUGUCAAGAUGAUGUUUGGUGAAACAGUAUUCUUUAAACUAUAAUGCAGAAUUUUAUAUUGCAAAAUAUCAGGAAUUUUAUUGCAGAUUUUUUUUUAAAAAAGAAAAAAAACCCUCAAAAGUUUCCUUUGUUUGCAACAAUAGCAACUUAUGUGAAGCUUAUAAGUUGCCCUUGUUUCAAACAAGAGCAACUUAUGUGAAGCUUAUAAGUUGCCUGAUAUGCAUGUAUAUAUAGUAUUUUUACCCCCGUCCCUUAGUACUUUUAUGUGUCAAACGUGCUCUUAGGAGCCGUUUCUAGUACUAAUGUGUGUUAUUGAGUGUGCCUUGAGUUUCAGGUUUGAUUAUGAGAAAUUGGUCGUUUUAGACCCGUUUCAUUGUAGAUCUAGGCCACGAUCUAGGCCACUAUAUGAGUCCGAGAAGUUCGGGACCUCCAUCGUCGACUUUCGGGAGCCUUGGAUGCUUAUGGUUGAGCCCCGGGAGUUAGACUCAGUGAUAUAGGCGAGCUACAUUGAAGAUUGCAAAUCGCCAUGGAAGCUGAGGGCGAAAUGCAACCAUCGGGCGGAAUUAUAAGCAAUCUGGAUUCAUCAACGCGCGCCCGAUCGGGCGCAGCUCGCCCGAUCUGGAUCGGGCGGUCAAUCUGGAGGCUAUAUGGAGAGUUCACAAUCCGCCCGAUCGGGCGGAUUUUGGCCCGAUCGGGCCGACUAUCGAGUGGAUCGCCCGAUCGGGCGACGCCAACCCCCAGCACUUAUGCGCGAGUUUUCUUUCCGUUUUUUAGGCUUUAUUUUGGGCAAACUAUAUAAGCAAGCCUUAAUUGUUUUUAGAGGACACUUUAUUUUCUAGUAUUGAAGCUUAGUAUUAUUUCCCUUAGCCUAAUUUUCUAUCUAGUUUAUGCAAAAACACUUAGUUUAAUUCUCAAUAAAAAUUCAAGCUUUCACUUUC